rnacentral:rRNA from 1 species
CUACGCUGCGAUAAGCCGUGGGGAGCUGCGAAGAAGCUUUGAUCCACGGAUUUCCGAAUGGGGAAACCCACCUUCGAUAGCCGGAACUCCAAGAUCUUGAGGUUUAGACACCUUGUGUUUUGGGGUUCGACCAGAAAUGCGAGAAAUCAAACCGCGAGGUUUUGGAUUUCCGGUUAUCAAGAGAAGGUAUGAGACUUCUGAAUAAAAUAGGAGGUUUCAAGCGAACCCAGGGAACUGAAACAUCUAAGUACCUGGAGGAAAGGACAUCAAUCGAGACUCCGUUAGUAGUGGCGAGCGAACGCGGACCAGGCCAGUGAUACAUCAAAGACAACCGGAACCUGUCAGGAAAGCAGGGCCUCAGAGGGUGAUAGCCCCGUACGGGUAAUGCGAUGAUGUAUCCUUGAGUAAGGCGGGACACGUGCAAUCCUGUCUGAACAUGGGGGGACCACCCUCCAAGCCUAAGUACUCCUCAGCGACCGAUAGU